rnacentral:rRNA from 1 species
ACAACGAAGAGUUUGAUCCUGGCUCAGGAUGAACGCUAGCGACAGGCCUAACACAUGCAAGUCGAGGGGCAGCACAAAGAUAGCAAUAUUUUGGUGGCGACCGGCGCACGG